rnacentral:rRNA from 1 species
AACGAACGCUGGCGGCAGGCCUAACACAUGCAAGUCGAGCGAGGACUUCGUUCCUAGCUGCUGACGGGUGAGUAACGCGUGGGAACGUGCCCUUUGCUUCGGAAUAGCCCUUGUAAACUGGGGGUAAUACCGGGUGAGCCCUUUUGGGGAAAGAUUUAUCGGCGGAGGAUUGGCCGGCGUUGGAUUAGGUUGUUGGUGGGGUAAUGGCCUAUCACGCCGACGCUCCUUAGCUGGUUUGAGAGGAAGAGCAGCGACACUGGGACUGAGACACGGCCCAGAAUACUACGGGAGGGAGCAGUGGGUGAUCUUAGACAAUGGGGGAAACCAUGAUCGAGCCAUGGCGGGUGAGCGAUGAAGGCCUUAGGGUAGUGAAGCUGGUUAAGCUGGGAAGAUAAUGACGGUACCAGAAGAAGAAGCCCCGGCUAACUCCGUG